rnacentral:rRNA from 1 species
UUUAGUCAGGCAACAAGCGAGACCCAUGUCCACUGUUGCUAACGCGACCCGCAAGGGUUGGCGAGUACACGGUGGAGACCGCUGGCGCUAAGUCAGAGGAAGGGGUGGUCGACGGUAGGUCAGUAUGCCCCGAAUAUCCCGGGCUACACGCGGGCUACAAUGGACAGGACAAUGGGCUACAACACUGAAAAGUGACGUCAAUCUCUUAAACCUGUCCUUAGUUCGGAUUGAGGGCUGAAACUCGCCCUCAUGAAGAUGGAAUCCGUAGUAAUCGCAUUUCAAAACAGUGCGGUGAAUACGUCCCUGCUCCUUGCACA